AGAGUUUCAUGCCCCUGAGAUGAAGGUAACACUUUUAAAAAAUGAAGGAAAAGUCCAGUGGGGUCAGAAUGACCCCAAACAGUGAUUAAGGGUUAAACUGUAAUCUUUUUUGUGUUCAUGAACUUUUAUUUUGUUAAUUUAAUAUUUAUCAGUGUUGUACUAAUGUUGUAACUUACAGUUAUGCAGUAACAGGCACUGAUCUAUUACUUGUUUAGAUAUAGUUUUAUUAACAUUUGGAAGAGUGAAUCCCUAAGCAGUUGGGCAAGUUUUUCUUCACAGGUACAUUGCAAAGAUCAUUGACAGCCGAGAGUGGACAGAGAAAACUGCCAUUUCUUUUGAAGUAAAACAUUUUAUUAAAAUUGGUUUCAAGUUUUUAUUACACAAUAAUGUUUCCAAUUAUUGAUUUAAUUGAAAACUGUGAAAGCAAACCUAUGUGUUUGUGACUAAUCCAAACAUAACAGGGAUCCCCAAAGCAGAAAGGUGGGAACAAUUGAGGGAUAUACAUUGUGAUGGUAGGUAAAAUUGGCUAACAGUUUUUGUAGUUCAGUGGUUAUAACUGUCUCAUUUUACUUUUUUUAUGUGUGUUACAGUACACUCUGUACAUGGCUUUGGAGCUUGGAUUUGAUUUUACAGAAGAUGACAUGCCUGUGAUCAGAAGAUGGUGGUGCUUUUAUUCUAGACAAUUUCACUCUGCAAAUGUAUGUAGCUGUUUGCAUGUUCACUUCCUACAUUAAACCAUUACUCUACUGUAUAUGUUGCUCUAUACUGUACAAUGUACCUACCUGUCUCUUGUCUUUUUUUUGUUUGUUUUGUUUUUUGUUUUAGCGUUCAACCAGUGAGGAAAGCAGAUUCACCUUACAAAAGACGGCGUCUUCAGGGAGAGGCAGGUGUAGCUGGUUAAUUCAUUUUUCACAUACAUUCUUUAAGAACGAUGGUUGUUGUUGGAGUGUCCUUUUAGUAUGUCAAUUUUAAAAACUAUUAUAUACAAGUACUGUAUUGGCUACUUACUGUGUGUUGGAUAUUCAUAUUAAUAAAUAUUUAUUUGCAGUGCCAGAACAUGCAGCUGUGACAAUAUAUCAGGUUUGUCUGAACUAAACUUUUUUUUACUAAAGUGUAUGUCAACGGAAUGAUUACAAUUAAGAACACCAUGUUUUCUU
rnacentral:lncRNA from 1 species